UCUCAGAGAUUCAUCUGUCUUUGACUCAUCCCUCCUCCUCUAAGUAACUCCAGUAAACCUGUUAAUUUGCCUAGUUGGACUUUAGAAGAAUUGUUUGAUUUCAGUGACUAGGCAUUUGUUCCUGUCUCCCCAGGAAAGUUUCCCACACACCAGGCACUGCCGGCCACUCUGGGUUACCUAUAUCACUGCUUCUAGCGUAAGCAUGCUGGAGAAGACAAAGCAGCAUGGAGAAGCCCCUCCUGCAAGCUCCUCCAGCCGUGUGCUUUUCUGAGAUACGGGCCACAAGGCUAUUGCAUGCUCACUGGGUCUACCACCUUCUACUGUCUCAAAGUUCAAUCCUCUCUAAAUGAGGCUCUGUCCCUACUCAACUGCAUUUCUUUAGUGGUCCCUCUUGCAUGUCAAUCUUUAGGGACCACCCAACUCUGGAUAUAUGAAUCUGCUGGUCUCUGUCCAGCAUCUUCAGAAAGCCUUGCUGGAAUCCAGCGGAAGGGGCCUCUUUGCUCUUGGAAGACUCAACAAGCUACAGUGAUUUGGGAUCCUGUGGUUUUCCCUUUUACUUGUGAGCAACUAGGAUCCCAGAUGCAGAACUGGAUAUGAAGUACAACACAAUGAAG